CCUACGGGGGGCAGCAGUGAGGAAUAUUGGUCAAUGGACGAGAGUCUGAACCAGCCAAGUAGCGUGAAGGAUGACUGCCCUAUGGGUUGUAAACUUCUUUUAUCUGGGAAUAAAAUGUUCCACGUGUGGGAUUUUGUAGGUACCUCAUGAAUAAGGACCGGCUAACUCCGUGCAAGCAGCCGCGGUAAUACGGAGGGUCCGGGCUUUAUCCGGAUUUAUUGGGUUUAAAGGGAGCGUAGGUGGAAUGUUAAUUCAGUUGUGAAAGGUUGCGGCUCAACCGUAGAAUUGCAGUUGAAACUGGCUGGCUUGAGUACAGAAGAGGUGGGCGGAAUGCGUGGUGUAGCGGUGAAAUGCUUAGAUAUCACGAAGAACACCGAUUGCGAAGGCAGCUCACUGGACCGCAACUGACGCUGAGGCUCGAAAGCGUGGGUAUCAAACAGGAUUAGAUACCCGAGUAGUC
rnacentral:rRNA from 1 species